CCUCGCCGCACGCCCCCGGUGGUCCCACCUGACCCCAUGCCGAACUCAGAAGUGAAACGCCGUAGCGCCGAUGGUAGUGUGGGGUCUCCCCAUGCGAGAGUAGGGAACUGCCAGGC
rnacentral:rRNA from 1 species